UACGAAGGGGGCUAGCGUUGCUCGGAAUGACUGGGCGUAAAGGGCGCGUAGGCGGCCUGUUAAGUCGAACGUGAAAUCCCUGGGCUCAACCCAGGAACUGCGUCCGAUACUGGCAGGCUUGAAUUCGGGAGAGGGAUGCGGAAUUCCAGGUGUAGCGGUGAAAUGCGCAGAUAUCAGGAGGAACACCGGUGGCGAAGGCGGGUCUCUGGGCCGAUACUGACGCUGAGGAGCGAAAGCGUGGGGAGCGAACAGG
rnacentral:rRNA from 1 species